UUUACACGUACAAUUCUAAGACCAAUCUUAAUUCUUACAGGACCAUAUGCAGAGGAUCGAGUGUCGGGAAGAAGAAAACAUCUGGAAGUAGAUCGAUAAUACAAGCUUUAUUCUCUCAUUACUUAUACGUACAAUUCUAAGACCGUUUUUAAUUUUUACAGAAGCAUAUGCAAAGGAUCUGGUGUCGGGAAAGAGGAAUAAUGAAUCAACACCUAGUUAUUUUUACAGCGGCAUGUGCGGAGGAUCCAAUGUUAGGAAGGAACAAUAAUGAAUCAAUACCUAAGCAUAUGCA